AUUAAAGUGGCAGAUUUAAUUGCCAGGAAUUUAAGCUUCCUUUAUGAAUAAUUCCUUUAAUA
rnacentral:tRNA from 1 species